CAAGCUUUUAAGAGCAGAUGGCGGAUGCCUUGCCAAAGAGAGGCGAUGAAGGACGUACUAGACUGCGAUAAGCUAUGCGGAGCUGUCAAGGAGCUUUGAUGCGUAGAUGUCCGAAUGGGGCAACCCAACUAAUAGAGAUAUUAGUUACUCUAACUAUAGAGAGCGAACCUAGUGAAGUGAAACAUCUCAGUAACUAGAGGAAAAGAAAUCAACGAGAUUCCCUAAGUAGUGGCGAGCGAACGGGGAAAAGGGCAAACCGAGUGCUUGCAUUCGGGGUUGAGGACUGCAAUAUCCAAGAGAACGCUUUAGCAGAGUUACCUGGAAAGGUAAGCCAUAGAAAGUGAUAGCCUUGUAUGCGACAAGGCGUUUUUAGGUAGCAGUAUCCAGAGUAGGCCAGGACACGAGAAAUCCAGGUUGAAGCCGGGGAGACCACUCUCCAACCCUAAAUACUACUCUUUGAGCGAUAGCGAACAAGUACCGUGAGGGAAAGGUGAAAAGAACCGCAGUGAGCGGAGUGAAAUAGAACCUGAAACCAUCUGCUUACAAUCAUUCAGAGCCCUAUGAUUUAUCAGGGUGAUGGACUGCCUUUUGCAUAAUGAUCCUGCGAGUUGUGGUAUCUGGCAAGGUUAAGCGAAUGCGAAGCCGUAGCGAAAGCGAGUCUUAAUAGGGCGCUUGAGUCAGAUGCUGCAGACCCGAAGCUAAGUGAUCUAUCCAUGGCCAAGUUGAAACGCGUGUAAUAGCGCGUGGAGGACUGAGCUCGUACCCAUUGAAACGGGUUGGGAUGAGCUGUGGAUAGGGGUGAAAGGCCAAACAAACUUAGUGAUAGCUGGUUCUCUUCGAAAUAUAUUUAGGUAUAGCCUCAAGUGAUAAUAAAAGGGGGUAGAGCGCUGAUUGGGCUAGGGCUGCUCGCCGCGGUACCAAACCCUAUCAAACUUCGAAUACCUUUUAUCGUAUCUUGGGAGUCAGGCGGUGGGUGAUAAAAUCAAUCGUCAAAAGGGGAACAACCCAGACUACCGAAUAAGGUCCCUAAGUUCUAUUCUGAGUGGAAAAAGAUGUGUGGCUACUCAAACAACCAGGAGGUUGGCUUAGAAGCAGCCAUCCUUUAAAGAAAGCGUAACAGCUCACUGGUCUAGUGGUCAUGCGCUGAAAAUAUAACGGGGCUAAGAUAGACACCGAAUUUGUAGAUUGUGUUUGACACAGUGGUAGAAGAGCGUUCAUACCAGCGUUGAAGGUAUACCGGUAAGGAGUGCUGGAGCGGUAUGAAGUGAGCAUGCAGGAAUGAGUAACAAUAAGAUAUAUGAGAAUUGUAUCCGCCGUAAAUCUAAGGUUUCCUACGCGAUGGUCGUCAUCGUAGGGUUAGUCGGGUCCUAAGCCGAGUCCGAAAGGGGUAGGUGAUGGCAAAUUGGUUAAUAUUCCAAUACCGACUUAUGGAGCGUGAUGGGGGGACGCAUAGGGUUAAGCGAGCUAGCUGAUGGAAGCGCUAGUCUAAGGGCGUAGAUUGGAGGGAAGGCAAAUCCACCUCUGUAUUUGAAACCCAAACAGGCUCUUUGAGUCCUUUUAGGACAAAGGGAGAAUCGCUGAUACCGUCGUGCCAAGAAAAGCCUCUAAGCAUAUCCAUAGUCGUCCGUACCGCAAACCGACACAGGUAGAUGAGAUGAGUAUUCUAAGGCGCGUGAAAGAACUCUGGUUAAGGAACUCUGCAAACUAGCACCGUAAGUUCGCGAUAAGGUGUGCCACAGCGAUGUGGUCUCAGCAAAGAGUCCCUCCCGACUGUUUACCAAAAACACAGCACUUUGCCAACUCGUAGAGGAAGUAUAAGGUGUGACGCCUGCCCGGUGCUCGAAGGUUAAGAGAAUGCGUCAGUCGCAAGAUGAAGCGUUGAAUUGAAGCCCGAGUAAACGGCGGCCGUAACUAUAACGGUCCUAAGGUAGCGAAAUUCCUUGUCGGUUAAAUACCGACCUGCAUGAAUGGCGUAACGAGAUGGGAGCUGUCUCAACCAGAGAUUCAGUGAAAUUGUAGUGGAGGUGAAAAUUCCUCCUACCCGCGGCAAGACGGAAAGACCCCGUGGACCUUUACUACAACUUAGCACUGCUAAUGGGAAUAUCAUGCGCAGGAUAGGUGGGAGGCUUUGAAGUAAGGGCUUUGGCUCUUAUGGAGCCAUCCUUGAGAUACCACCCUUGAUGUUUCUGUUAGCUAACUGGCCUGUGUUAUCCACAGGCAGGACAAUGCUUGGUGGGUAGUUUGACUGGGGCGGUCGCCUCCUAAAAAGUAACGGAGGCUUGCAAAGGUUGGCUCAUUGCGGUUGGAAAUCGCAAGUUGAGUGUAAUGGCACAAGCCAGCCUGACUGUAAGACAUACAAGUCAAGCAGAGACGAAAGUCGGUCAUAGUGAUCCGGUGGUUCUGUGUGGAAGGGCCAUCGCUCAAAGGAUAAAAGGUACCCCGGGGAUAACAGGCUGAUCUCCCCCAAGAGCUCACAUCGACGGGGAGGUUUGGCACCUCGAUGUCGGCUCAUCGCAUCCUGGGGCUGGAGCAGGUCCCAAGGGUAUGGCUGUUCGCCAUUUAAAGCGGUACGCGAGCUGGGUUCAGAACGUCGUGAGACAGUUCGGUCCCUAUCUGCCGUGGGCGUAGGAAAGUUGAGGAGAGCUGUCCCUAGUACGAGAGGACCGGGAUGGACGUGUCACUGGUGCACCAGUUGUUCUGCCAAGAGCAUCGCUGGGUAGCUACACACGGAUGUGAUAACUGCUGAAAGCAUCUAAGCAGGAAGCCAACUCCAAGAUAAACUUUCCCUGAAGCUCGCACAAAGACUAUGUGCUUGAUAGGGUAGAUGUGUAAGCGCAGUAAUGCGUUUAGCUGACUACUACUAAUAGAGCGUUUGGCUUGUUUU
rnacentral:rRNA from 1 species